ensembl:lncRNA
UUCCUUUAAGAGCCUGCCUUUGCGCAUAGCUCCUCCUCCUUUUGUGCGUGCCUGCAUUUUAAACCUGACGUAACCGUUGCUGAGCUCAUCCUCUUCCGGUGAUAAUAGUUACAUUUACAAAGUUUCACUUUAGUUAAGUUUUACAAUACUGAAUAAAUAAAUAAGUUGAAUAGUCUAAGCGAGCCCUCAAAGUGUGGUGAUAAUUAUGUCAACUUUCCGUAAAUUACUCUACGUACCGUGCUUCGACACUCAGUCGCCUCAAACGGACAAGGAAUCGGGAUAUAACGGAGAAAACAACAAACACCGCAGACUGAACGGGUUGACUCAAGAGGCGACGCCCUUACUCUUCCUCGACGUUACGAGUCCCGAAAUAACACCAUGUUUUUCAAGAAAGGUGAAAACUAACCAUCUUUUGAGGUUGUACGCCAAUAUGAGAUCAACGGUUAAUCUGAGGGCGACUAAAGGCGGGAAAUCUCGGCGCGCCAAACGCGUCACUUACGAAGGUGUAGGAGAGCAGCCACACAGGGACUCAUCUGACACUUUUGGAUUCCCAGCAAGAGAUGUUAAAGCAGAUGAAAUGUCCCGAUCCCGAACAAAACAGGAGGUAUUGAGGACAAUCAAGAGAAUGGUGGAGGAGAACAGGGUCAUCAGAGAGCGGUUACUCGCCUUGAGGCAGCAGAGCCGAAGCAAAUGA